GAUGAACGCUGGCGGCGUGCCUAAUACAUGCAAGUCGAGCGAACAGACGAGGAGCUUGCUCCUCUGACGUUAGCGGCGGACGGGUGAGUAACACGUGGAUAACCUACCUAUAAGACUGGGAUAACUUCGGGAAACCGGAGCUAAUACCGGAUAAUAUAUUGAACCGCAUGGUUCAAUAGUGAAAGACGGUUUUGCUGUCACUUAUAGAUGGAUCCGCGCCGCAUUAGCUAGUUGGUAAGGUAACGGCUUACCAAGGCAACGAUGCGUAGCCGACCUGAGAGGGUGAUCGGCCACACUGGAACUGAGACACGGCCCAGACUCCUACGGGAGGCAGCAGUGGGGAAUAUUGCACAAUGGGCGAAAGCCUGAUGCAGCGACGCCGCGUGAGGGAUGACGGCCUUCGGGUUGUAAACCUCUUUCAGUAGGGAAGAAGCGAAAGUGACGGUACCUGCAGAAGAAGCACCGGCUAACUACGUG
rnacentral:rRNA from 1 species